rnacentral:rRNA from 1 species
UCCAGACUCCUACGGGAGGCAGCAGUGGGGGAUAUUGCACAAUGGGGGGAACCCUGAUGCAGCGACGCCGCGUGUGGGAAGACGGUCCUCUGGAUUGUAAACCACUGUCCCCAGGGACGAAGAUGACGGUACCUGGGGAGGAAGCUCCGGCUAACUACGUGCCAGCAGCCGCGGUAAUACGUAGGGGGCAAGCGUUAUCCGGAUUCACUGGGUGUAAAGGGAGCGUAGACGGCCAUGCAAGCCAGGGGUGAAAGCCCGGGGCCCAACCCCGGGACUGCCCUUGGAACUGCAUGGCUGGAGUGCGGGAGGGGCAGGCGGAAUUCCUGGUGUAGCGGUGAAAUGCGUAGAUAUCAGGAGGAACACCGGCGGCGAAGGCGGCCUGCUGGACCGCGACUGACGUUGAGGCUCGAAAGCGUGGGGAGCGAACAGGAUUAGAUACCCCCGUAC